rnacentral:rRNA from 1 species
AAAAUAUGAUACGGGCUGGAUCUCUCGGGGUUACAGCCUUGCUGAAUUAUUCACCCUUGUCUUUUGCGUACUUCUUGUUUCCUUGGUGGGUUCGCCCACCACUAGGACAAACAUAAACCUUUUGUAAUUGCAAUCAGCGUCAGUAACAAAUUAAUAAUUACAACUUUCAACAACGGAUCUCUUGGUUCUGGCAUCGAUGAAGAACGCAGCGAAAUGCGAUAAGUAGUGUGAAUUGCAGAAUUCAGUGAAUCAUCGAAUCUUUGAACGCACAUUGCGCCCUUUGGUAUUCCAAAGGGCAUGCCUGUUCGAGCGUCAUUUGUACCCUCAAGCUUUGCUUGGUGUUGGGCGUCUUGUCUCUAGCUUUGCUGGAGACUCGCCUUAAAGUAAUUGGCAGCCGGCCUACUGGUUUCGGAGCGCAGCACAAGUCGCACUCUCUAUCAGCAAAGGUCUAGCAUCCAUUAAGCCUUUUUUCAACUUUUGACCUCGGAUCAGGUAGGGAUACCCGCUGAACUUAAGCAUAUCUAGAGGGGGAGGGGGAAA